rnacentral:rRNA from 1 species
CCCUUAGAUGUUCUGGGCAGCACGCGCGCUACAUUGGUCUUCGCAAACGGAUGCAUUCUCGAAGGAGAAUGCCAAUCUUGGAAUCUAUGCCUUGGUCGGGACAGUUGCUUGCAAUUUUUCGACUCGAACCAGGAAUUCCUUGUAAUCGUGAUUCAUCACAUCACGAUGAAUACGUCCCUGCCCUUUGUACACACCGCCCGUCGCUCCUACCGAUCGAAGAGUUAGGUGAAUUGUUUUGAUCGAUAAGAUUUGACUAUGGUCAACUCUCGUUGUGAAAUUCUGUGAAUCUGACUGUUUAGAGGAAGGAAAAGUCGUAACA